AUGUGUUGUAAGGCACCUUGGGGGGUUGUAGAACCCAAGCAGGUGUUACACAGAUACAAGGCAUUAACCAUUUACUUCCUUCUCAUGUAUACAAAUACCUUUAAAAAUUAUCUUUCCACAUCAGCCAAUGUAUGUUUUUGUACUCCUCACAACUGUUCGAUUAUUAACAUCUUGGGACUUGUUCUCUUUCAUCAGUAUUGUCUCAGUGUGUCACUGUAUGUGUUUGUGUGUGCGUGUGUGUGUGUGUGUGUGUGUGUGUGUGUGUGUGUGUGCGUGUGUGUGUGUGUGCGUGUGCAGAACUUGCUCCAAGCGACGGGCAGCAUGUCAUUGCAGAAACCACACAGGAUGUGUUUUGUCAAAAUAGUUUAACACCUCUUUUUGUGGGAGGAUGUAAAGCCCCAAGCAACGGAAGCCUUUCAAAAUAAAAGACAGUGCAGAGAUUUGUCUUUAGUUCGUUCUAGCAGAGAUGUCAAAAGUGUUCGCAGUCAAUACUCAGGUGUAAGUAUAGAAGGUUUAAAAAGACUUGGAAUUGAAGAAUCAAUUGACGCUUUUUUUUUUUAGGAUAAACUACCUGUUUUGGCCACAUUUAUGCCCUUUGAAUAAUCUAUUUAAGUCCAGUGCAAAUACAUUAAAGGAGGCAUAACAUGAAAAACCCACUUUUUUUAUCCAUUAACACAGUGUGUUUCACAUUUUAAGUGUCUAAGUGAGCAAAAAGGCUUAUAUUAUUCACUAGAGUUGCUUUUUAGAGAUUUAAUAAUUAAGUUUUGGGCAUAUUUGUCCACCCGUUCAGUUUUUCAAAAUACGUAAUACAUCAGAAAUUUAUGUCGUCACAAUAACUACCAAAUUUGGUCAUGGCCCUAGGCUAAACACAGAGCCAAUCCACCAUUUUUCUUCUCGCUAAGAUUUUUGCAGUCCUAUUGGAAAAAUGCAGAAUGUCUGGUUAUUUUAGCCACACACAGCUCAAAACUGUUCCUCGUUUUAAGGAAGGGUGGUGUGGCAGUAUGUAAAACCCAGAAGCUGAUGACACUACUGCCAAAAAAAAAAGACAGAAGAAAAAAGUUGUGUGUUUCUGUGUGUAUGUGUGUGUGUGUGCAUGCGUGCGCGCGCGUGCGUUCGUUCAUGUCUCCCAGGCUAGUGGCUAAGUACCGGGGCUUCAUCUAUCUAAAAUGAGUCAUUUCUAUAUGAAUGUGGCAGCAAUGGGACACAGCAGCGGAGCGGUAAGCUACAUAUCACUCUAAAAUGUCGGCAAACUUUACUUUAGAUUUACGGGCAUUAGCAGCGCUAUAGCGUUAGCAUCCGACUCGCCAACGCUAGCACAGUAAGCUAGUAAAGUUAGCACCCAGAUUAAUGUGGAUUUGGCCGAUUUUCAUGGAAUAAAACGAGAUCUGGAAUUUCUGAUCAGCGCCUUUUUUUGACACCAGAUGUUUUUUUUUUGUUUGUUUGUUUUUGUACCGUGUCCUGUCUGGCUGUGAAACAAACAGAAUUGAUGUCUGAAUGCUGGUAACAAGCCUUACAGAUUUACUCUCAGGUGGAACAUCAAAGCGUCUGCUUUUAAUGUCACGCCUGAUUCUUAAAACUUUAUUGUUAUUGUUUUUGAAUGCUUUGUUAUUCCGACCAGACACGGAGUCAGAAGUGAAAGAGAAAGGAAAAGACAAAAGGUUGGGAGAGAGGGGGGAAGGGGGUGGGGGAAUCCACAAAAAUAAACAAUAAUGAACAAGAGUCUGCUUCUAGACCUGCAGAAAAAGACAAGAAAAAAAGCAAAAGAACAAAAAAAAAUGGGACACAACAACAAUACCACAAGAUCAAGCUAUCACUGCGUCAACUUGAUGAAGAAAUAUAUAAUCAACAUUGUUUAACUGAACAAUCACACGAUAAUAAAUCACAGUGCAUUAGGUGCCCACCUACGCCAGCGGAUGCCACCGCACCACCCCACUUGCACCCACAGCCCUUGGUGUUUCAGUGCAGUUUAAAAUGGGAAGUGGGCACCGGCACCUGGGAGGAGGCUGAGAAAUCCCCCUGCCAAGUGCCGCUGAAUGUGCUCAAUCCCAAGGCCCUAAAGCCUGAUUUAUGCUUCUCCGUCUGCGCCAGUGCGGAGACACGCAACACCAUUAUCCGUCCUUGCGUAGGGCACGCAAGUACGUACGGAGUCGAGCCCACUUUUUUAAACAUCCGUAGAACGAGACGGAUUACGCAAGCUUGUGAUAGGUCAGGACGCCGCUGUAGUUUACAACGCUGUCAUUGCAAAGAGAGCCGAGGAUAACUAGUGGCAGACAUGGAGGAGCUUGAAGAAUGCCUCACGAAAAAACUCAAAAAAUAUGAACGUUUAAUUCUCUCGUGACUGGAGGAGUGAAAAAAUGCGCAGCAAGCGUUUUAUUUGUGGACGGAAAUGACAGGAAACGUGGGUUUAGAGGUGGGGAGCGCAUGAAGCGGUGGGAGAAUGAGAAACAAAUAUGUCCGUGUUAAAAAGUCUCUUAUAUACAAAAAACACAAUAUAAACAGACUAUCUUGGACCGAUACAUGGCAGGAUACCACAGAAUAGCGCUACGCCCUCUGUUGUCCUGUCGGGCAAUUGCUUUGCAACACUCCCCAGGAGACGGAGAAGUAUGAGAGCAAAACGCUUCCGUCAAUCCGUACGUGUCUGUCCCUUGCGGAGCUGACGGAGAAGCAUGAAUCAGGCUUAAGUGUGUGUUUGCGUGGAAUGUCGUUGGUGGAAGUGUAUAAGGUGCAAAUAAAAUUGGGGGGCAG
rnacentral:lncRNA from 1 species